GGCAACCCUUAUCUUUUGUUGCCAGCGGUUCGGCCGGGAAUUCAAAGGAGACUGCCAGUGAUAAACUGGAGGAAGGUGGGGAUGACGUCAAGUCUUCAUGGCCCUUACGACCAGGGUUACACACGUGUUACAAUGGCAUAUACAAAGAGAAGCGACCUGGGGAGAGCAAGCGGACCUCAUAAAGUAUUUUCUAUUCCGGAUUGGAUUUUGAAAUUGGAUUCCAGGAAUUGGGAUUGGUUGGUAUUGGUGGUUCACAAUGCUGCGGUGAAUACGUUCCCGGGCCUUGUACACACCGCCCGUCACACCAUGGGAGUGUGUGCUCCAAGAAGCUAGGUAGCUUAACGCUACCAGG
rnacentral:rRNA from 1 species